rnacentral:rRNA from 1 species
CGGGUGAGUAAUGCUUUGGAAUCUUCCCAGUAGUGGGGAACAACCAGUCGAAAGAUUGGCUAAUACCGCAUACGUCGGAGACGAGAAAGCGGGGGAUCGUAAGACCUCGCGCUAUUGGAUGAGCCAAAGUCGGAUUAGCUAGUUGGUGAGGUAAUGGCUCACCAAGGCGACAAUCCGUAGCUGGUCUGAGAGGACGACCAGCCACACCGGAACUGAGACACGGUCCGG